rnacentral:rRNA from 1 species
CAGUCGCCGCGGUAAUACGAAGGGGGCUAGCGUUGUUCGGAUUUACUGGGCGUAAAGGGCGCGUAGGCGGACUGAUAAGUCAGGGGUGAAAUCCCAAGGCUCAACCUUGGAACUGCCUUUGAUACUGUUUGUCUUGAGUUCGAGAGAGGUAAGUGGAACUGCGAGUGUAGAGGUGAAAUUCGUAGAUAUUCGCAAGAACACCAGUGGCGAAGGCGGCUUACUGGCUCGAAACUGACGCUGAGGCGCGAAAGCGUGGGGAGCAUACAGGAUUAGAUACCCCCGUAGUCCCUGUCUCUUAUAA